rnacentral:rRNA from 1 species
AUGCACGUCCUUGCGCCGCACUCACGUGGUCCUCCGUUUGCACCACUGCUCGGCUACCUGGAUCGUCGUGGAAGGGAAGGCAUCGCGAUCCACGGCGGCGACCUGCCAGGAGGGAUGGACGACGUGCUGUCGCAGAUCGGCGACGCCUUCCGGCUCGCCGGGGAGCUCAUGGGCGACCUCCCGGCGGCCCAGAACGACCCGGCCUACCUCGCCGCGCGCUGCCACGGCAUUGUCCGCGCCUACAACACGGCCAUACGCUUGCUGCAGAACUACGGCGUGGGCGCCGUGAACGUGGCCGCGGCUGCGCGCCCACUCGACGGCGGCGGGCCGCUGGACCUCCUGCGCCUGCGCAGCACGGAGGAAGCAGCCGGCGCCAGCCAGCUUCUCGGGGAGACUCCAACUCAUCUGCUGGAGCCAUUCCACAUGCCGGCCGGUGCACGAGCGCCAGCGCACGCGGUGCGCGCGGCGGCGGACGUCGCGGGCACCUCCGGCGGCCCGGUGAGGAGGCUGGCGCCGUCCAGGUCUCCGCCGACGGCCCAGCCACGGCAGGGCAGGAGGAGGAGGGACAGCGGGCAGAGGGAGACGAUAUCGGUGCCGGCACACCGGAUGGGCAACAUCGAGCUUCCACCGGACGACGGUUACACGUGGCGCAAGUACGGCCAGAAGGACAUCCUCGGCUCUAGGUUCCCAAGGAGCUACUACCGGUGCACCCACAAGAACUACUACGGGUGCGACGCCAAGAAGAAGGUGCAGCGCCUGGACGACGACCCCUUCAUGUACGAGGUCACCUACUGCGGCAGCCACAGCUGCCUCACCUCCACCACCCCGCUGCUCAACUUUCCCACCGCCACCGCCACAGCCACCGCUACCAACUCUCCGACCGCCGCGACAGGCUCCGGCCUGGCCCCUGCGGACCACUUCAUGGCGCCCACCGAGCAGGCGGCCGUGUCGACAUCAAUGCACCUCGGCGUCGGCUGGAUGCCGGCAAGCUUCCAGGGCGUUGUGGCGGGCUCCGGUGCCGGCGGGGGGAGUAGCGCCGGCAUGCAGACGAGCGUGUCCACCGCAGCAAGGGACACGGAUUACCCGGCGCUGGACCUUGCCGACGUCAUGUUCAACUCCGGCGGUAGCGUCGGCAUGGACGGCAUCUUCUCUUCUCAUCAUCGACGUGAUAGCUAG